rnacentral:rRNA from 1 species
UGAACGCUGGCGGCGUGCUUAACACAUGCAAGUCGAACGAUGAAGCCCAGCUUGCUGGGUGGAUUAGUGGCGAACGGGUGAGUAACACGUGAGCAACCUGCCCCUGACUCUGGGAUAAGCGCUGGAAACGGCGUCUAAUACUGGAUAUGUCCCGUCACCGCAUGGUGUGCGGGUGGAAAGAUUUUUCGGUUGGGGAUGGGCUCGCGGCCUAUCAGCUUGUUGGUGAGGUAAUGGCUCACCAAGGCGUCGACGGGUAGCCGGCCUGAGAGGGUGACCGGCCACACUGGGACUGAGACACGGCCCAGACUCCUACGGGAGGCAGCAGUGGGGAAUAUUGCACAAUGGGCGAAAGCCUGAUGCAGCAACGCCGCGUGAGGGAUGACGGCCUUCGGGUUGUAAACCUCUUUUAGCAGGGAAGAAGCGAGAGUGACGGUACCUGCAGAAAAAGCACCGGCUAACUAC